ensembl:lncRNA
GGCCCUUGAUUUCAUAAUCCAUCCACAGCUCAUUCUUUCACUUUGUGUGGCGGUUAUAUUAGGUACAGCUAUACGAUGUACAUCUAGUUCAAAAGUGGCAUGAUUGGUCUAACAGCCUUAAUAGACCUGAUAGACCAGAGGCCUGUGGGUCUUGUGUCAAAUGCAGAAAUGUUGUACAGCUUGGCCCAACCUCAAGCUCCACAUUAGAUAACCAUGACAACACAACCCUUCACUGUAAAGCAUUUGUUAUUGCCUCUUGCUCUGUUUUCCUGUCAUUGUGAAAUGUUAGCUUUCUCCCUUUUCUAUGAAUAAAAUCACAGCUGUAUCACAGUUCUUGGUAGUCUGUCAUCACUGAAAAAAGACUACUUACCAUGCCAAAUUAACCAUAGGGUAUUGGGAGAGGGAUUGAAUGAAUGAUAACAAGCAAGAAGGGUUCUGAAAUAAGUUAAUUAUGUAUCCAUGUAACCUUUAUGAUAGUUUAACCAAGCAUGGAAGUGUCUGUGUAACUACAACUGUAUAUUUUCAACCACCAUGGUAGUCUAACAUAGCACCUUGCCCUCUGAGACGGGCUGGGAAACACUUGUGUCUGUAGAAAGGGACAGGCACACCGAGAGGAGCAGUGGACAGACAGGCCCAUCACACAGACAGACCCAUCACACAGACAGGCCCAUCACACAGACAGGCCCAUCACACAGACAGACCCAUCACACAGACAGGCCCAUCACACAGACAGGCCCAUCACACAGACAGACCCAUCACACAGACAGACCCAUCACACAGAGAGGAGUAAAACGGCAUGCAUGAGGGAUGUGGCAGCUGUGGAGAAGGAAGUAUUGAGCUCAAGAGAUCUGGUGGGGUAUUAAGAGACCUGGUGGGGUAUCAAGACACCUGGUGGGGUAUCAAGAGACCUUGUGGGGUAUCAAGACGUGACCAUGCUGGUGCCACAUGCAGUGUCUGUGCUGCAGUUGGAACAAAAGACAUCACAACUCUCACCAGCCAGGUGCUUAAGGGAUCACAUGAUUCUCUGAGGUCUACACACUAUCAAGGUACAGCAAUGUAAUGUGUUGAGUGCUGCUACUCUGCGCCCUACAGAAGAGGAUGGAGAACCACAUGAUUGUGCAGAGGUCGUUAACGUGGCCUGCACACCCUGAUAUGGUUCUCUAUGUACAUCGUUUUGCAUCAAGGGAUACAGGAAACGUGCACUGAAAAGGCAGGAACAGUGUACGUUAGUCUGCCCAAGGGGAGGAAUAGGAGAGGAGAGGGAGAGCGCAUGUUGUACU